GACGAACGCUGGCGGCGUGCUUAACACAUGCAAGUCGAACGGAAAGGCCCUGCUUUUGUGGGGUGCUCGAGUGGCGAACGGGUGAGUAACAGGUGAGUAACCUGCCCUUGACUUUGGGAUAACUUCAGGAAACUGGGGCUAAUACCGGAUAGGAGCUCCUGCUGCAUGGUGGGGGUUGGAAAGUUUCGGCGGUUGGGGAUGGACUCGCGGCUUAUCAGCUUGUUGGUGGGGUAGUGGCUUACCAAGGCUUUGACGGGUAGCCGGCCUGAGAGGGUGACCGGCCACAUUGGGACUGAGAUACGGCCCAGACUCCUACGGGAGGCAGCAGUGGGGAAUAUUGCACAAUGGGCGGAAGCCUGAUGCAGCAACGCCGCGUGCGGGAUGACGGCCUUCGGGUUGUAAACCGCUUUCGCCUGUGACGAAGCGUGAGUGACGGUAAUGGGUAAAGAAGCACCGGCUAACUACGUG
rnacentral:rRNA from 1 species